GGACCCGCACAAGCGGUGGAGUAUGUGGUUUAAUUCGAUGCAACACGAAGAACCUUACCAGGGUUUGAAAUCAUUUCAAAACUCCUUGAAAGAGGAGCCUCCUUCGGGAUGAAAUGACAGGUGGUGCAUGGCUGUCGUCAGCUCGUGUUGUGAAAUGUCGAGUUAAGUCUCGUAACGAGCGCAACCCAUGUCUCUUGUUGCUCACUGAGUGCUUAAGAGAGACUGCCGACCAACAUCGGAGGAAGGUGUGGAUGAUGUCAAGUCAGCAUGCCCCUUACAUCCUGGGCUACACACGUACUACAAUGGUAAGGACAAUGAGCUGCGAUCCUGCGAAGGCUAGCCAAUCUCAAAAACCUUAUCUCAGUUCGGAUUGCACUCUGCAACUCGAGUGCAUG
rnacentral:rRNA from 1 species